rnacentral:rRNA from 1 species
UACGUAGGUGGCAAGCGUUGUCCGGAUUUACUGGGCGUAAAGAGCGCGCAGGCGGUCGUUCAAGUCGCGUGUGAAAGCCCCCGGCUCAACUGGGGAGGGUCACGCGAUACUGAUCGACUCGAAGGCAGGAGAGGGUAGUGGAAUUCCCAGUGUAGAGGUGAAAUUCGUAGAUAUUGGGAAGAACACCGGUGGCGAAGGCGGCUCUCUGGACCGAUACUGACGCUGAGGCGCGAAAGCGUGGGGAGCAAACAGG